UACGUAGGGACCAAGCGUUGUUCGGAUUUACUGGGCGUAAGGGCGCGUAGGCGGCAAUUCAAGUCAUCUGUGAAAUCUCCGGGCUUAACUCGGAAUGGUCAGGUGAUACUGCUUUGCUAGAGUGCAGAAGGGGCAAUCGGAAUUCUUGGUGUAGCGGUGAAAUGCGUAGAUAUCAAGAGGAACACCUGAGGUGAAGACGGGUUGCUGGGCUGACACUGACGCUGAGGCGCGAAAGCUAGGGGAGCAAACGGG
rnacentral:rRNA from 1 species